GGGGGUAUAGCUCAAUAGUAGAGCAUUUGACUGCAGAUUCAGAGGCCCUCGGUUCAAACCCGGGUGCCCUCU